UCGAGAAUCAUUCGCAAUGGGCGAAAGCCUGACGAUGCGACGCCGCGUGUGUGAUGAAGGCCUUCGGGUCGUAAAGCACUUUCGCUUGGGAACAAGAGAGGUUGGCUAACAACCAACCAAUUUGAGGGUACCAGGUAAAGAAGCACCGGCUAACUCCGUGCCAGCAGCUGCGGUAAUACGGAGGGUGCAAGCGUUAAUCGGAAUUAUUGGGCGUAAAGGGCGCGUAGGCGGUCCGAAAAGUCAGACGUGAAAUCCCAGGGCUCAACCCUGGAACAGCAUCUGAAACUUUCAGACUAGAGGGUAGGCGGAGAAAACGGAAUUCCACAAGUAGCGGUGAAAUGCGUAGAUAUGUGGAAGAACACCGGUGGCGAAGGCGGUUUUCUAGCUUAUUCCUGACGCUGAAGCGCGAAAGCAAGGGGAUCAAACA
rnacentral:rRNA from 1 species